rnacentral:sRNA from 1 species
UGUAACUGCUAUGGGUGAUGAAUAAUAAGUUGACCUUGAUAAUAUCCUUAGUUUGAAAUUCACAAAUGUGUUUCUUUUCUUCUCGUCACUGUGUGUGUGUGUGUGUGUGUGUGUGUGUGUGAAAAUCAUUGACUCUCCAGCACAUAUAA